rnacentral:lncRNA from 1 species
UCACAGAAAUGGACAGCUUGGGUCUGUAACAAAGCAUUCAUGUUUUAGAGCAUAGGUCAGUAAUUGUAUAUGAGAGCAUACACUGCUACAUACAAAUUAACUGAUCAGACCACAACUUUUCAAUGUUUAAAACAGAAUAAGCUUCCCUGUAAAAGCAGCACCUUUGUGACGUUUUAACUUUAGUAUUCCUCUCCUUCUUCCUCACCCUCUCCUUCAACAGAAUCCACACCAACCUCCUCAUAAUCCUUCUCAAGGGCAGCCAUGUCCUCACGGGCCUCUGAAAACUCACCUUCCUCCAUCCCCUCCCCAAC